UUCAUACAUUAAGAUGCUUUAUCUUAAGGAAGGCUUAGGGACAAGGCUUCAGUUUCCUCUUUAAAAAUCACAAUACCUUCCUGAUGGUGUGCAGGUGUGUGAUGUCUUGUGUCCUCUGUGAUCACAGCAGCAUGUCCUGUCAACCUGCCUCAGUAUCUUGUAUGAUACUGCACAGGAUUUAUUUAUUUUUUGAGGAGGGAGGAUUUUUCUUGGACUGCCUGGCACUGCUACUUGAUGCUACAAAACUCUUGUCCAAGCAAAAAAAGAAAAGUAGUACUCAUAUAAUAGUACUCUCUCUGUCGAUGAACCCAUAUUACUUUCCCAGUAAUCCACAGGAAUGAACACAAAGCUCUCUCUGAGGUAAAUUUGAGUCAUUCCUUGAAGCCCAGUGUCAGCUAACUUUUGGAUAUCUUGUCCUGCCUCAUGUUCCCAUGUUUGCUGCAUUCCCUGUUUCCCCACUCCUACUUUUGGGGCUGUAAGGAAACAGUGUCAUGAAUAGCAAACAUUAAGGGUAUUUGUGAGAGGUGAAAUUAAUUUGUUGGAGUUGGUGUGGGUAAGGAAAGGUGCUAUUAUUGCACAGGCCAGAAAGGUGAAAGUAGGAUGACAGUGGUUAUGGUAAUGAUGAAAAGCAACAAGCAGUUCAGGUGUUGGUAGUGAAGAGGAGUCACUGACAACAAUGGCAGUUUAAAUAAAAUGACACUGAAAAUGGUUGUGGCUAAUUGGGGACAUGACUGUGAUGAAUAAGAGGAACACGACUAAUGGAAAAUCUGAGAUGUUUGUGCCUGUGAUUCAGGAUGCUACUGUUGGCUCUGGAGUUGUAUUUGAUUUCAGUGCUUUUAUUGAGACAUAUCCUAAAGCUGUACUUUAGCUACAUAAGAGAACUGAUUUUAUCUUCUUCUUCUUUUGUCUUUCCCUCAUGCCUCUCUCACAGUUUCACUCUGUCUCUUUCUCUCUAACACACAGUUUUAUUAAUAUUGCGGUCUUAUCAUUUAAUUAGUCCUGGGAACUGUUUAAAAGUGGUAUAGAAAUCUAACAAACAAAUGAAUACAUAGUAUUAAAUGAGCUGCUUCUGAUAAGUAGUCUCAGUCUAUUGGUUCCCUGAGGAACCAUGCCCUCUUGGAAGGUGAAAUGUGAACAUGAUGUCUCAGGAAAAUGAAAAUGAAUUUCAAGGAAGUUUGAAAAUGUGGUUUGGUUAGGAAAGGGUAAAUAGAUUAAAUCCAAAGUAAUUUCAGAAGCUUUAAAGAACAUGUUACUAUGGAAACAUCAACCCACAAAGGGGAGAGAGAGAGAGAGAGAGAGAGAGAGAAGGAAGAAUAGAGAAAAUUGGGAACUUUUUUUUUUUUUUGGAAAGGAGGAACUGUCAUGCUCAAACCCCCACAGAAUAUUGACAAAAUAAUGAUAAUAACUGUUCUUUUUAAUUAACUUCCCAUAAAAAAUAUUAUGUUGGGGGCUGAAACAGCUCUGAACCACGGACUAUAUAUAUAUAUAUAUAUAUAUUAUAUUAUUGGUGCCACAGUACAUUAAUGUUUUCGAAUGUGAAGCUCAAUAAACAAUAGUUUUAUUCCAUUGCUGGAAUUUGAUCCAGUGUUCCUACAUGAGGCAUGCUAGGAUUUGUGUCACUCAGAUGGUGAUGGCUUAGGGCAGCAUAGCAUUUUUUCAUUAAAUUCUGAGGUCUUCUAGAGUGCUUCCAGUAAAGUAGUGUCAGCACAUUCCUCUGCUUUUCAUUUGGGACAGUAAGGUUGCUUCAGACAUUAUAUUGUUGUAAGUUUUCUUUGGGGGGGUGGCAGUCUGUAUGAUGCCCGAGUCCCUUCUAAUCCCCAGUCCACCAAGGGUUAAAUCUAAUGGAGAAUUCCAUUGUUGAGUUAGCAAGGCAAGAGUCAUGGUCGCCACCAACACAAGUACUACAUCAGUACAGUAUGGUCAUUACGGGGGGUGGCUUUGUGACAGAGGACACAUGGGUGGGCCCACUCCAUCACCUGGCUGGUUGUGAGAGAGACAGAGUUGUAUAUGAGAGAGCUGGCCUAGAAGCAGGCAGAAGCCAGAGAGACAGAACCAUUCUAGAUUUCUGCUUGAAUUCACGGCUGUAACUAUGGGAGAAGCAAUACCUCCUGGGGUGUUAAUGCUGUGAGCCCCUCCAUGCUGAACACCCCUUCUUAUUUUCUGCUGUCCUUGGGAUACUUUCCAAUUUGUGCCUUCCAUGUGUCAGAACCUGACCCCCUCUUUCCUUUCUGCAUUAUCUCUUCUUCUUGAGCAGCAGAAAUAUAUCUGCAGAGAAGGGAAGGUUUAUUCUGUCUAUGACUAUUGCCAAGGUUUAGCUCUCUUAAAAAAGUACUGUCUCUAGUCCACUUGUAAUCUCCCUUAGUAAAUAAAUCUGAAAGCACUGAAACAGUCCAUAAAAGAAGAGAAAGUUGUUUAAAUGUCAAUCUUGUGAUGUACAGGAUUCUAACCCCACCUGUUCCUGUUCCUAUAGGAAAAGAAGCACAAGAAAAAUUCUCACCCUCACAUUCUACCAUCACUUCUUAGCCAUUUUGCAUGGAAUUGUUUUGCCACAAAUUCUACCUGACACUUCCCAGAUGUUCUCCCCGAACAACCAGAUGCACCUACAUCCCUCAGCUGAACAAGCCGUCAGCACCAUAGUAGUUGACGUGGCACAGGAUGCUGGUGGAGCAUGGGUUGGGGUGCGGGAUGAGUGAUACAAGAUUUGGCAGUUCACCUGUGAUAUGCACCAGAAAACAGUAGGAGUCUAAUCUGGAACUGAACUGAAUUCAUUUGGGUCUCUUAGAUUGCUCUUUAUCUCUCAUGAGAACAGGCUGUUCUGAGAAUUUUUAAGGUCUAAAGUUGGGUCUGAAGUAAGCCUGCAUGUCAGCUCAUUGUGUGGCUUCCAAGAUAAAGGUAGAUGAGAUGGAAGGGAAAACAUGUAGCAUGUAUUUAAUUUAAUUUAAUUUAAUUUAAUUAAUUUAUACACCACCAAAUCAACUAUGUCCUAUGAGCAUUUCACAAUUUACGUAAACGUUUGCAGAACAAAGGUGUGGCCAAGAUGCUGAGCCAGGAACUCGAAAAAUUUCUUUUGCUAUCUCUUUUCCUGCCAUCAUUUCUAAUUAGGAGGCCCUUGUCAUCUGAUGAAGGAUGACCAUAUGGAAUAGAAAUAGGAAAUCCUAAGUUGAUUGACAUACAUCUUUAAAAGGCGUGUCAAUCAACAAAGGAUUUCUUCUCUCCAUCCCUUUGAGAAUGUCGUCUAAAAGAUCUAAAAACAAUGCCCAUAGAUGUUAGUGCUCUUUCUUUAAGAUUCAGCUGUUCUCAACUGUUAUUUUUUGUCAGCUCAUCAGCACUCUUUCUCUCCAUUCUCAAAAUGCCUUUGUUUCC